rnacentral:rRNA from 1 species
UACGUAGGGGGCAAGCGUUGUCCGGAAUCAUUGGACGUAAAGCGCGUGUAGGCGGCUCGGUAAGUCUGCUGUGAAAGUCCAGGGCUCAACCCUGGAAUGCCGGUGGAAACUGUCGAGCUUGAGUCCGGAAGAGGCGAGUGGAAUUCCUGGUGUAGCGGUGGAAUGCGCAGAUAUCAGGAGGAACACCAAUAGCGAAGGCAGCUCGCUGGGACGUUACUGACACUGAGGCGCGAAAGCGUGGGGAGCGAACAGG